ACGGCUAUACCAUGCUGAAUACACCGGUUCUCGUUAGAUCACCGAAGUCAAGCAUCAUUGGGCGCGGUCGCAGUACUUGGGUGGGUGACCACCUGGAAACACCGCGU
rnacentral:rRNA from 1 species